rnacentral:rRNA from 1 species
AACGUAGGGGGCGAGCGUUGCCCGGAAUUACUGGGCGUAAAGGGCGUGUAGGCGGUCCGGCAAGUCAGGUGUGAAAAGCCAGGGCUCAACCCUGGACUUGCAUUUGAAACUGCCGGGCUUGAGGGUAGGAGAGGGAAGCGGAAUUCCCGGUGUAGCGGUGAAAUGCGUAGAGAUCGGGAGGAACACCAGUGGCGAAGGCGGCUUCCUGGACUAUGCCUGACGCUGAGGCGCGAAAGCUAGGGGAGCAAACAGG